CCUACGGGCGGCAGCAGUGGGGAAUAUUGCGCAAUGGGCGAAAGCCUGACGCAGCGACGCCGCGUGAGGGAUGAAGGUCUUCGGAUCGUAAACCUCUGUCAGCAGGGAAGAACGGUCACUGUGCUAAUCAGCAGUGAAUUGACGGUACCUGCAAAGGAAGCACCGGCUAACUCCGUGCCAGCAGCCGCGGUAAUACGGAGGGUGCGAGCGUUAAUCGGAAUUACUGGGCGUAAAGCGCUCGUAGGCGGUAUGUCAAGUCAAGGGUGAAAUCCCCGCGCUCAACGUGGGAACUGCCUUUGAAACUGGCAAACUGGAGUGUGUGAGAGGAGAGUGGAAUUCCAGGUGUAGGAGUGAAAUGCGUAGAUAUCUGGAGGAACAUCAGUGGCGAAGGCGACUAUCUGGCACAUAACUGACGCUGAGGAGCGAAAGCGUGGGUAGCAAACAGGAUUAGAUACCCGGGUAGUC
rnacentral:rRNA from 1 species